rnacentral:lncRNA from 1 species
UUUUAAUUUACAAGAGUUCUAAAUGUACAGAAUUCUCCUUUAAAAAAAUCGUUAUACACAAUAAAUACAGUACAAAAAAAUUUAUCUUACAGUACUAGUUUUGUCUCCGAGAUUUCAAAAUCUGGCGCGGGCGGUUGGCGGCAGGAAGAACAGAGGGAAGACUGGCUGGGGGAGGGGGCGCGGGGGGAGGAAGACCCCGGUUUCCCGUUUGGGAGGUGCUCGCAUUUCGGCCGCGGGACAGGAGGGUGCCAAAUCUCUCUCUUUCUCGCUCUCUUGCUCACUCGAGCACACACACAGGGACACAGGACGCGGUGCCGGACGCACACACACGGACGUGACAGGUGCCCUCGGGCCUGCUCCGAGGCGGGGCAGGAGGCCUUUGUGAUUCAAAUAACUUAGGCAAGAAAGACUCAGGGGAUCCCCGGCUUGCGUCCCCCAGGAGGCUGAGGUCGGAGGCCCCGCUGCCCCCCACCCUGGCGUCCGCAGCGCGAGGGGACAGGGGAGGGAGGACCGGCCCGGUGUUAUCUGUUCAACGUCCUGGCGCCCAGGCCGCCGUUGUGACUGGAGGGCGGGUAGGUCUCCGGCCUGUGCAGGGGGGCCGGGGAGGCGGGCGUGCCGGCCGCGGGGGCGACAUGGGGGUACGGGGGCGCGGUCGUCCGGCCGGGGGCCUGCUGGAGGUUGAGGAUGCUGUCGAUGGCGCUCUGGAGGUGCUCGGUGAGCGUGUCGUCCUGCGGGCUGUCGCUGGAGAAGCUGGCCUGGUCCACGUCGGGGGACUCGGACUUGCGCCGCU